GACGAACGCUGGCGGCGUGCUUAACACAUGCAAGUCGAACGGUAAGGCCCUUCGGGGUACACGAGUGGCGAACGGGUGAGUAACACGUGGGUGAUCUGCCCUGCACUUCGGGAUAAGCCUGGGAAACUGGGUCUAAUACCGGAUAGGACCACUGCCUGCAUGGGUGGUGGAAAGCUUUUGCGGUGUGGGAUGGGCCCGCGGCCUAUCAGCUUGUUGGUGGGGUGAUGGCCUACCAAGGCGACGACGGGUAGCCGGCCUGAGAGGGUGACCGGCCACACUGGGACUGAGAUACGGCCCAGACUCCUACGGGAGGCAGCAGUGGGGAAUAUUGCACAAUGGGCGCAAGCCUGAUGCAGCGACGCCGCGUGGGGGAUGACGGCCUUCGGGUUGUAAACCUCUUUCAGCACCGACGAAGCGCAAGUGACGGUAGGUGCAGAAGAAGGACCGGCCAACUACGUGCCAGCCGCCGCAGUAA
rnacentral:rRNA from 1 species